rnacentral:rRNA from 1 species
UGCGAUACUUGGUGUGAAUUGCAGAAUCCCGUGAACCAUCGAGUCUUUGAACGCAAGUUGCGCCCCAAGCCUUCGGGCCGAGGGCACGCCUGCCUGGGCGUCACGCACCGUCGCCCCCCCUCUUCCCGAACCCGCCCCGAACUUGUGGGUGGGAGAGAGAGACUGGGGGGGGCCGGAAGCUGGCCUCCCGUGCGCUCCCGCUCGCGGCUGGCCGAAACGCAGAGUCCCGCGGCCUCGGGCGCCACGGCGAGCGGUGGUCGAAGAGCCCUCGUCUCGCGCCGCGCGCGCCCCGCCGCAGGACGGUCGGAAAAGACCCCGAGCGAUCGCGCUCCGAACGCGACCCCAGGUCAGGCGGGGCUACCCGCUGAGUUUAAGCAUAUCAAUAAGCGGAGGAA